ACCCAAAGCCGGUGGCCUAACCUUUUGGAGGGAGCCGUCUAAGGUGGGAUUGGCGAUUGGGACUAAGUCGUAACAAGGUAGCCGUACCGGAAGGUGCGGCUGGAUCACCUCCUUUCUAAGGAG
rnacentral:rRNA from 1 species